CGCCCCUGCCUCAAUCCGGCCGAUCCAGACUGCCCCGCCACAGCCCCCAACAAAAAUUCAACCAAACCUCUUGAUAUGGCCCUUGUUUUGAAUGGUGGAUGUCAUGGCUUAUCCAGAAAGUAUAUGCACUGGCAGGAGGAGUUGAUUGUGGGUGGCACAGUCAAGAACAGCACUGGAAAACUCAUCAGGUAAGCCAGCUCCCGAGGACAAUCUAUGCCCUGCAGUCUUCUUUCCUCAAAAGCCACUUACAUCCUGACAUCGGCAAGUGUAUUUGUAUUAAUACUUAAACCAUUAUCC
rnacentral:sRNA from 1 species